AAGACCUUGCGCUUUUGGAGCGGCCGAUGCCUGAUUAGCUAGUUGGUGGGGUAAUGGCCUACCAAAGCUUCGAUCAGUAGCUGGUCUGAGAGGACGGCCAGCCACACUGGGACUGAGACACGGCCCAGACUCCUACGGGAGGCAGCAGUGGGGAAUUUUGGACAAUGGGCGCAAGCCUGAUCCAGCCAUGCCGCGUGAGUGAAGAAGGCCUUCGGGUUGUAAAGCUCUUUCAGCCGGGAAGAAAAGGUUGCGAUUAAUAAUCGCAAUUYAUGACGGUACCGGAAGAAGAAGCACCGGCUAACUACGUGCCAGCAGCCGCGGUAAUACGUAGGGUGCGAGCGUUAAUCGGAAUUACUGGGCGUAAAGGGUGCGCAGGCGGUUUUGUAAGUCAGAUGUGAAAUCCCCGGGCUUAACCUGGGAACU
rnacentral:rRNA from 1 species